CAGCCGCCGCGGUAAAACGGAGGGUGCAAGCGUUAAUCGGAAUUACUGGGCGUAAAGCGCACGCAGGCGGUCUGUUAAGUCAGAUGUGAAAUCCCCGGGCUUAACCUGGGAACUGCAUUUGAAACUGGCAGGCUUGAGUCUUGUAGAGGGGGGUAGAAUUCCAGGUGUAGCGGUGAAAUGCGUAGAGAUCUGGAGGAAUACCGGUGGCGAAGGCGGCCCCCUGGACAAAGACUGACGCUCAGGUGCGAAAGCGUGGGGAGCAAACAGGAUUAGAUACCCCAGUAGUCCCUGUCUCUUAUAC
rnacentral:rRNA from 1 species